AUGCUGAUACUUACCCAUAGACGUGAAGAUAAAUCAUCCUCUGUUCUUUAAGGGAACAAAACCCAACAAGGUUAGGUAGACGUUACCACUUCUUAAAGGAGAACCAGCUCUUCGUUUCCAUUGAUGUGAAAAAUCUUUUGCCAAAUUUGUUUCGAGUGCUUGGUUGAAUGUAGUCAUGUGUGUACGUGACCCUUUGCCUUCAAAUAUUAACCAAAGACUGGAAAUUGUUGUAUCUUGGAGGUUUUGAUUAUGACACUAAGACUUCGGGGCAUUAUUAAAUGGGGAACAAGGAAUCAGGAAACAUGUUUGAACAGGAAAUGGGCUUGACAGAAAUCUGUGCUGCAGAAAGGGGAGUCUAUGAGCAGGAAAUGUGCUGGAUUUGGGCAGGGACUCUAGGAGGGAAUCUGUUUCAAGGUUAUUAUGGUUGUUCUGGAAUGAAUGGGGUUGUGGGUGAGUGGAAUGCAGAAGAAGGAUGGUGAGAGAGAGCCAGAGGCAAACUACCUCGGCGUAGAAGGAGAUGAGGGAGGUGGCAGGGAGUAGGGGAGGGAAAGGAAGAGCGGGGAAAGAGAAGUCCCAUACAAUAUGACUCUUGCUUUGUCCUUUGAGCCCAUUUGCACAUGAAGAACAAGAACCACAGAAUAUGAUUUCAGAUUUGUCCAGGUGACAUGGUUCUUUGCAGGGUGUCAUGUAAUUUUAAUGCUUUUUAUUUGAUCCUGCAAAUGGGAACAUUUUAUCAGCAAAAAAAAAAAAAUGGAUACAAAGUAAAGUCAGAAAUAGGAGCUCACAUGCCCAUUAAAAAAAAAAAGUCAAGUUGUUGAAUUCAGUGUGAUUGGCUGACCCUGAGUUUUUCUGUCAUUGUCUCUGGCACUUACUCAUUUUGCUCUGUGCUGGAUCUCUCUAGAAAAAAGACAGUGGUGAAUGCCAAGUUUUAAAACAAAGUAAUAGAGUAAACUUUCAAUGGAGAAUAUUCAUUUGUUAAUUUUUUUUCCACAGCAGAAUACCUUGGUGCAGUUGGUCUGAGAACCUCUCACAGUGACGUUUUUUCCCUAAAAGUAAAUUUUUUUUGGCUUAGUGAGACUGUAGGCUUCUUGAGGACUCAUGCCUUACUCUUCCUUGUUUUAUUCCUAUUCACUGGUUGCCAUGAUGAAUGUGAUAACCACAUAACGAGCAACUGAUGGGGAUAAACCGUGUGUCGAUCCAGAUGUGCGGAGGUUUCCGAUACGUGUUCUUGGAGAUGGAACUCUGCCAAAAAUCAGACUAAAAUUCAAAAUCAGAUGAAAUUAAAACACAAAAAUGAGUAAAAUGCAUAAAAGGACACUCAGGACUCAGCCUCUACUAGACCUCAUGGAAUCCUAUGCAAACAUAAAUCCUGCCUUUAGAAAAAUGAGAAUGUAUGUAUGCUGGUUCCUUUUGGAUUGAUCACUCAUCUUUGAAGAAGUUUCCAAGAUGCGUAACUUACAAAAGGUUUGUGCUGAGGAGGGGCCUGGACCACGUGCCAGCCUAACAGGAAUUCUCCCCGUGGCACAAAAGUGUAGGGGGCUUCCUUUUGCUUCUGCUUCUAAGAUAAACUGGGGUUUCAGGGCUGCUCACAUUGCAGGGUCCAUCUUUUCUGUCUUGCCUCACUGACAGAAUGCUUCCUGCAUAUAUCACAUGUCUGAAUGAUUCCUCCUCCAGCUGUGUCUUCCCUCCUUCUCUUUCAAAUAAAUCAGGUUGAGGGGAGGCAUAGCUGCCAACACACAUACUUGGUUCCCUUGUUUCCAGUGAAGGAUUCUUGGUUUUGCCCCGAAGUUAAGUGUCGAAGUGUAUUUUGUGGACGUCUUCUGAAAUCUACAGUCGUCGACAUCUUUCAUCAGAGUCACUGUAGCUCCGUGUAGAUUGUAGUUCAGGGUUUCUGGUGUCUCCUGUUUACAGGACAAAUGGAUUUUGCAUGUUUGCAUGUCACUGACUUUGCUGCUGGGUAAUUUCUGAGAGUAGGGCCUGCGCUAAACAAACACCUCACGUGAUUCUGAUGCUGGUGGUUCACCAACGACAGCCACUCAAUAGAAUUAACUGACCAGUCCACAAGGGCACCGGCAUUUGUAUGAGGUCUUUUGGUAUAUGUAAUAGAAAAGAUACUGCUUUUAUAAAUAAGAGUGGCUGAGCUAACAUAAGUAGCACAGAGAAGGGACUGAGACAGGGAUGUUUUCUUUGGAGAAUGGAGAAACUUUUUUUUUUUCCUAUCUCAGAAAUACUUUGUGCUCUGUUCAAUUGAGUGGCAUUUAGCACACAAAUGAUAUCCAAUAAAUACUGAUGAAUGGCGACAUCAAAAUAGAGCAAAGUUUAAUAGAAAAAAGUCUCAGAUGUCCCCGAAGUGACCCAAGAAAUUCAAGUUACCUAUAGUUUAUGAGACCAACCAGGAAAGUUCCCUUAGGGUCAACGUAACCAUAUGGUAGAUUAUUUAUUAAUUUAUGGAUGUGUUAGACACAGUGCCUGUAACUUCUCUCCUCUUCCGACCCCCAGUAUUCUUUGUGGCAGACCACUAGUUCUGCAUUCUCGGG